rnacentral:rRNA from 1 species
UACGACUACAUAUCAGGCAUAUCAAUAAGCGGAGGAAAAGAAACUAACAAGGAUUCCCUUAGUAACGGCGAGUGAAGCGGGAAGAGCUCAAAUUUGAAAUCUUCAAGGUUCUACCUUGACGAAUUGUAGUUUAAAGAAGUGUUUUCUGUUAGUGGAGUAGGCAAAAGUUCUUUGGAAUAGGACAUCAUAGAGGGUGAGAAUCCCGUAUUUGACCGUUACUUUCCAGCUGUGUGAUACACUUUCAAAGAGUCGGAUUGUUUGGGAAUGCAGUCCAAGAUGGGUGGUAAAUUUCAUCUAAAGCUAAAUAUUGGCGAGAGACCGAUAGCGAACAAGUACCGUGAGGGAAAGAUGAAAAGAACUUUGAAAAGAGAGUUAAACAGUACGUGAAAUUGUCAAAAGGGAAGCGUUUGACACCAGUGUUGUUUUUUCCGAAAAUCAAUUAAGAAGGGCUUGAUUUUGUGUUGUAUUGACCUUAUCAGCUUUCUUCACUCUUUUUCGAGUCUUUCUUAAUGCACUUUUCGGUUAACAAGUCAACAUCAAUUUCUUUUGUUGUAAAAGGGUAUUUGGAAGGUGGCUUUCUUUUCGGAGAAAGUGUUUAUAGCCUUAUACCUCUACAAUCGGAGAGAUUGAGGUCUGCAGCGUAGAUCCUUCGGGGCUAGAUACACUUGUGCUAAGUUAUAGCUUUUCAUAGACAACUUGUUGACUAUGUUUAGUCAUGUAGCUUACCCGCUUGUGCUAUUUUACCUACGCUUAGGAUGUUGAUCUACAGAGCGAGAGU